AUUCCGGUUGAUCCUGCCGGAGGCCAUUGCUAUCGGAGUCCGAUUUAGCCAUGCUAGUCGCACGAGUUUAUACUCGUGGCAGAUAGCUCAGUAACACGUGGCCAACCUACCCUAUAGACCAGUAUAACCUCGGGAAACUGAGGCUAAUGCUGGAUACGACUCUCAGACUGGAGUGUCGAGAGCCAGAAAUGCGUUAGCGCUAUAGGAUGCGGCUGCGGCCGAUUAGGUAGACGGUGGGGUAACGGCCCACCGUGCCGAUAAUCGGUACGGGUUGUGAGAGCAAGAGCCCGGAGACGGAAUCUGAGACAAGAUUCCGGGCCCUACGGGGCGCAGCAGGCGCGAAAACUUUACACUGCACGACAGUGCGAUAAGGGGACUCCGAGUGCGAGGGCAUAUAGUCCUCGCUUUUCUGCACCGUAAGGUGGUGCAAGAAUAAGGACUGGGCAAGACCGGUGCCAGCCGCCGCGGUAAUACCGGCAGUCCAAGUGAUGGCCGCUGUUAUUGGGCCUAAAGCGUCCGUAGCCAGCCAGACAGGUCCGUCGGGAAAUCCACGCGCUCAACGCGUGGGCGUCCGGCGGAAACCAGCUGGCUUGGGGCCGGAAGACCUGAGGGGUACGUCCGGGGUAGGAGUGAAAUCCUGUAAUCCUGGACGGACCACCGGUGGCGAAAGCGCCUCAGGAAGACGGACCCGACGGUGAGGGACGAAAGCUAGGGUCACGAACCGGAUUAGAUACCCGGGUAGUCCUAGCUGUAAACGAUGCUCGCUAAGUAUGGCGCACACUACGAGUGUGCGCUGUGCUGUAGUGAAGACGAGAAGCGAGCCGCCUGGGAAGUACGUCCGCAAGGAUGAAACUUAAAGGAAUUGGCGGGGGAGCACUACAACCGGAGGAGCCUGCGGUUUAAUUGGACUCAACGCCGGACAUCUCACCAGCUCCGACUGCAGUAAUGAAGGUCAGUGUGAUGAGCUUACCUGAGGCUGCAGAGAGGAGGUGCAUGGCCGCCGUCAGCUCGUACCGUGAGGCAUCCUGUUAAGUCAGGCAACGAGCGAGACCCGCAUCUCUAAUUGCCAGCAGCACCCUUGUGGUGGCUGGGUACAUUAGGGAGACCGCCACGGCUAACGUGGAGGAAGGAACGGGCAACGGUAGGUCAGCAUGCCCCGAAUGAGCUGGGCUACACGCGGGCUACAAUGGCCAGGACAACGGGUUCCAACCUCGAGAGAGGGCGGUAAUCUCUGAAACCUGGUCGUAGUUCGGAUUGAGGGCUGAAACUCGCCCUCAUGAAGCUGGAUUCGGUAGUAAUCGCGCUUCAGAAGAGCGCGGUGAAUACGUCCCUGCUCCUUGCACACACCGCCCGUCAAAGCACCCGAGUGAGGUCCGGAUGAGGCCCGGUUCCCGGGUCGAAUCUGGGCUUCGCAAGGGGGCUUAAGUCGUAACAAGGUAGCCGUAGGGGAAUCUGCGGCUGGAUCACCUCCU
rnacentral:rRNA from 1 species